rnacentral:misc_RNA from 1 species
GAUGAAGAACGUAGCGAAAUGCGAUAAGUAAUGUGAAUUGCAGAAUUCAGUGAAUCAUCGAAUCUUUGAACGCACAUUGCGCCCGCCAGUAUUCUGGCGGGCAUGCCUGUUCGAGCGUCAUUACGCCCCUCAAGUCCCCUGUGGACUUGGUGUUGGGGAUCGGCGAGGCUGGUUUUCUAGCACAGCCGUCCCUUAAAUUAAUUGGCGGUCUCGCCGUGGCCCUCCUCUGCGCAGUAGUAAAACACUCGCAACAGGAGCCCGGCGCGGUCCACUGCCGUAAAACCCCCCAACUUUUUAUAGUUGACCUCGAAUCAGGUAGGACUACCCGCUGAACUUAAGCAUAUCAAUAAGCGGAGGA